rnacentral:rRNA from 1 species
UACGUAGGGGGCGAGCGUUGUCCGGAGUUACUGGGCGUAAAGGGCAUGCAGGCGGUCGGACGCGUUUCGGGUGACAGCGGGUGGCUUAACUACCCGAGUGGUCGAAAGACGGUUUGACUUGAGGACGCGAGAGGGACACGGAAUUCCGGGUGGAGUGGUGAAAUGCGUAGAGGUCCGGAGGAACACCGAAGGCGAAGGCAGUGUCCUGGCGCGUAACUGACGCUGAGGUGCGAAAGCCAGGGGAGCGAACGGG